rnacentral:rRNA from 1 species
GGUGAACGCUGGCGGCGUGCCUAACACAUGCAAGUCGAGCGGUGCAGUUUGAAGCUUCGGUGGAAAGCUGCAUAGCGGCGGACGGGUGAGGAAAACGUAGGAACGUGCCCCUUGGAGUUGGAUAGCCACGGGAAACUGUGGGUAAACCGACAUAGACUCGAGAGAGUAAAGGCCGAAAGGCGCCAAGGGAGCGGCCUGCGGCCCAGUCAGGUAGUUGGUAGUGUAAAGGACUACCAAGCCGACGACGGGUAGCCGGUCUGAGAGGAUGGCCGGCCACAAGGGCACUGAGAGACGGGCCCUACUCCUACGGGAGGCAGCAGUGGGGGAUUUUGGACAAUGGGCGAAAGCCUGAUCCAGCGACGCCGCGUGGAGGACGAAGCCCUUCGGGGUGUAAACUCCUUUUCUCAGGGAAAAAGGAUGAUGGUACCUGAGGAAUAAGCCCCGGCUAACUACGUG